rnacentral:tRNA from 1 species
GAUUAAAUGGCUGAAGUAUAGGCAGUAAAUUGUAAAUUUAUUUAUGAGAGAAUCUCUUUAAUCA